rnacentral:rRNA from 1 species
AUGCAGUCGAGGGGUUACAUGNACUCGGUUUGAUGACGACCGGCGAACGGGUGAGUAACGCGUACACAACCUACCUUCANNGAGAUANCCUGGGAAACUGGGAGUAAUACUCCAUAGUAUUACUUAAUUUAUGAUAAAGUAAUUAAAGUUUAGGCGCUUGAAGAUGGGUGUGCGUCCCAUUAGCUAGUUGGUGAGGUAACGGCUCACCAAGGCGACGAUGGGUAGGGGGCGUGAGAGCGUGGUCCCCCACACGGGUACUGAGACACGGACCCGACUCCUACGGGAGGCAGCAGUAAGGAAUAUUGGACAAUGGGCGAAAGCCUGAUCCAGCCAUCCCGCGUGCAGGAUGAAUGCCCUAUGGGUUGUAAACUGCUUUUAGAUAGGAAGAAACCCUUGGAUUUAUCCGAGGCUGACGGUACUAUCAGAAUAAGCACCGGCUAACUCCGUGCCAGCAGCCGCGGUAAUACGGAGGGUGCAAGCGUUAUCCGGAAUCACUGGGUUUAAAGGGUGCGUAGGCGGAUAUAUAAGUCAGAGGUGAAAUCCUCCCGCUCAACGGGAGAAUUGCCUUUGAUACUGUUUAUCUUGAAUAAGGUUGAGGUUAGCGGAAUGUGACAUGUAGCGGUGAAAUGCAUAGAUAUGUCAUAGAACACCAAUUGCGUAGGCAGCUAGCUAGGCCUUUAUUGACGCUGAGGCACGAAAGCAUGGGGAGCGAACAGGAUUAGAUACCCUGGUAGUCCAUGCCCUAAACGAUG